rnacentral:rRNA from 1 species
UACGAAGGGGGCUAGCGUUGUUCGGAAUUACUGGGCGUAAAGCGCGCGCAGGCGGUUCUCCAAGUCAGUGGUGAAAGCCCGGAGCUCAACUCCGGAAUUGCCAUUGAAACUGUAGAACUUGAGGACGAGAGAGGUGAGUGGAAUUCCCGGUGUAGCGGUGAAAUGCGCAGAUAUCGGGAAGAACACCCAUGGCGAAGGCAGCUCUCUGGGACGGUACUGACGCUGAGACGCGAAAGCGUGGGGAGCGAACAGG